GAUGAAGAACGUAGCGAAAUGCGAUACGUAAUGUGAAUUGCAGAAUUCAGUGAAUCAUCGAGUCUUUGAACGCACAUUGCGCCCCCUGGUAUUCCGGGGGGCAUGCCUGUCCGAGCGUCAUUGCUGCCCUCAAGCACGGCUUGUGUGUUGGGCCUCCGUCCUCCUCCCGGGGGACGGGCCCGAAAGGCAGCGGCGGCACCGCGUCCGGUCCUCGAGCGUAUGCGGCUUCGUCACCCGCUCUUGUAGGCCCGGCCGGCGCUUGCCGACACAUCAAUCUUUUUUCCAGGUUGACCUCGGAUCAGGUAGGGAUACCCGCUGAACUUAAGCAUAUCAAUAAGCGGAGGA
rnacentral:misc_RNA from 1 species